CCGGUGCCAGCCGCCGCGGUAAUACCGGCGGCUCGAGUGGUGGCCACUAUUACUGGGCUUAAAGCGUCCGUAGCUGGAUUGUUAAGUCUCUUGGGAAAUCCACCGGCUCAACCGAUGGGCGUUCAGGAGAAACUGGCAAUCUAGGGACCGGGAGAGGUGAGAGGUACUCCAGGGGUAGGAGUGAAAUCCUGUAAUCCUUGGGGGACCACCUGUGGCGAAGGCGUCUCACUAGAACGGCUCCGACAGUGAGGGACGAAAGCUGGGGGAGCAAACCGGAUUAGAUACCCGGGUAGUCCCAGCUGUAAACGAUGCGCGUUAGGUGUAUCGGUGACCACGAGUCAUCGAGGUGCCGAAGGGAAACCGUGA
rnacentral:rRNA from 1 species